GGAAUAUUGCACAAUGGGCGAAAGCCUGACGCAGCGACGCCGCGUGUGGGAGGAAGCCUUUCGGGGUGUAAACCACUGUCCGAGGGGAAGAACAGCGUCCAUGUCGAAUAGGCAUGGCGUUUGACGGUACCCUCAAAGGAAGCGCCGGCUAACUCCGUGCCAGCAGCCGCGGUAAGACGGAGGGCGCAAGCGUUGUUCGGAAUUACUGGGCGUAAAGCGCGGGCAGGUGGUCCGUUAAGUCGUUUGUGAAAACCCGGGGCUCAACCCCGUGGAAUGCAGACGAUACUGGCGGGCUAGAGAUCGGUAGAGGCUAGCGGAAUUCCUGGUGUAGCGGUGGAAUGCGUAGAUAUCAGGAAGAACACCCGUGGCGAAGGCGGCUAGCUGGGCCGAGUCUGACACUCAUCCGCGAAAGCGUGGGGAGCAAAC
rnacentral:rRNA from 1 species